rnacentral:rRNA from 1 species
UACGUAGGGUGCAAGCGUUGUCCGGAAUUAUUGGGCGUAAAGAGCUCGUAGGCGGUCUGUCGCGUCGGCUGUGAAAAACCCGGGGCUCAACCCCCGGGCCUGCAGUCGAUACGGGCAGACUAGAGUGCGGUAGGGGAGACUGGAAUUCCUGGUGUAGCGGUGAAAUGCGCAGAUAUCAGGAGGAACACCGGUGGCGAAGGCGGGUCUCUGGGCCGUAACUGACGCUGAGGAGCGAAAGCGUGGGGAGCGAACAGG